rnacentral:rRNA from 1 species
CCGACAGUGAAAUACCGCAACUUUCGACGUCGUUUUACUUACUCGGUGGAGCGGAGAGAGGCUCGCCUCGCUUCUGGCGUUAAGCCGCUUCGUGCGGCGAUCCGCGUCGGGGACACUGUCAGGUGGGGAGUUUGGCUGGGGCGGCACGUCUGUUAAAAAAUAACGCAGGCGCCCGAUUUUGAGCUCAAUGAGAACAGAAAUCUCAUGUGGACCGAAAGGGGAAAAGCUCGGUUGAUUUUGAUUUUCAGUACGAAUACAAACCGCGAAAGCGUGGCCUAUCGAUCCUUUAGUCUUUGGGAAUUUCAAGCUAGAGGUGUCAGAAAAGUUACCACAGGGAUAACUGGCUUGUGGCUGCCAAGCGUUCAUAGCGACGUAGCUUUUUGAUCCUUCGAUGUCGGCUCUUCCUAUCACUGCCUCGCAGCGGGGGCCAAAUGUAGGAUUGUUCACCCACCAACAGGGAACGUGAGCUGGGUUUAGACCGUCGUGAGACAGGUUAGUUUUACCCUACUGCUGCCAGUUUUUCGACGGUAAUUUGGUUCAGUACGAGAGGAACCACCAAUUCGCACCAUCGGUAUAGCCGCCGCCCGAUAGGGCGAUGCGGCGAAGCUGCCAUGCGCCGGAUUACAACUGAACGCCUCUAAGUUGGAAUCCAUGCCGGACGCGAAAAGCCUUCUACCGGGACGGGCGUUCCGCAGCGAGCACGCCCAGCUUCGGCCGGAGCCGCACUCGAUCGCAAGUCACGGGCCCGCCCCGAUGGAUCCCCUGCAGACGACUCGAAUGAGGAACGGGGUGCUGUACGCGGCAGAGUGGCCUUGUUGCCACGAUCCGCUGAGGCUCAGCCUUGGUUCCGAAGAUC